UCUGAUUUCGCCUAAAGUUGACUGAUGCUAGUCGGCUGUUGGCAUUAUGGCGGUUUGCUUACAUUCCUCCUAAUCAAUUGCAAAGCGGAAAAUUUUCCAAUUUUUCCUUUGAAACUCUUCCAAAUUGUCAUAAAAUGACUUAUUACUAGGUGAAAAAUUAAUUCGCCCCUUUUAAUCAACAUUUGUGAUACUUUCGGUGGUUUCACUUUAUGUAGUGAGAAGCAGAUUCCUUGAGACUCUGAGCCUGGUCCGCAGAUUGUUCAACUUCUUAAUGGAUAAUUUUAGUUAUUGAACUUUCUUUUGACUUUAAAUGGUGUAUAAUUUUUUCUAGACAGUAUCAAUACCCUUUGAUCAACUUCUCAAUCUAUUAACCUCAAUAUCAUGUCGCAGGAUAGAGAUAUUUUAGCUAUUUGAGAUCUGUCAAGAACCUGAUCACAGCAGCACUGCCAGUCUUACAGAUACACUGUAUUGAAAUUUGAUGAUAAAAAUUUACUGUCUAUGUCAUGAGCUGCUCACUAUGAUAAGUAUUAAUCGUGGAUCAAAUGCUUGAUGUCUCCAACAUCCUAUCUCUAAGCCUGAUGUAGUGCGUUGAAAGCGGAGUGUUAUGGCUGCGAAGCGUCGAUAUUUGUUGUUGAGGAGGCGUGUUAAUGAAACGUUUGGAUAAGCUCGCAAGCUGUACGAAUUCUUUUGUGUGUGGAAAAUAACUGAAUGUCCAGAAUUCUAAACAUCUGACUGUAUCUCAAGUACCUAAAGGAAAUGUUGGCCAGGUCAGAGUUUGUGAAUCCUUGACAGCAGUUAAUGCAAUUCUUCUGCGUAUUUAAGGCCUUCGCUCAUCAAAGUUAGUUAUGUUUACAAACGUGUUUCGUGGGGCGAAAAGUAAAUUCCCGGUGCUGUGAACUGAAGCCCAAAUGACAAAUCUAGCUUUUGAGGAAGGCUUUGGUAAGUGCUUUAUUGUUUCAUCUAUAGUUUUAUGUACUAUUUCCAGUGAUUACUUUGGUAAUUAUUCCAAUUGAGUACUAUUUAUGAUUUUUUUUCUCUGAAAUUCCGAAAUGGGGUUAACUGAACACUACCAAAUGGGGUUAACUGAACACUACCAAAUGGGAAUAAAGAGGGCAUUCCCAGUUAACCCCAUGGAUUACAAGUUAGCCAAAACAUUCACUAAAACUUGUUUUUUGAUUUUAAUUGCAGUAUUUUAACAACUAAAAGGAGAAAAAGGACAAUCAACCAUGGGACCUAUUCAAAAGUCAUUGAAAUAAAUUUUCCGUAUCUCUUAGUGAAAAUGUACAUAAUAUAAGUAUUAAGACAAACAAAAAAUCAUCCUCAGAUGUAUUUCUUUAAUUUUUAAGACUUUUCCACUUGUUCAUUUGACUUAAUAAAAGUUUCCUCUUUCAAA